UAAUACAGAGGGUGCGAGCGUUAAUCGGAAUUACUGGGCGUAAAGGGCGCGUAGGCGGUUGGGAAAGUGUGAUGUGAAAGCCCCGGGCUUAACCUGGGAAGUGCAUCGCGGACUCCCUAACUGGAGUAUAUGAGAGGGUGGCGGAAUUUCCGGUGUAGCGGUGAAAUGCGUAGAGAUCGGAAGGAACGUCAAUGGCGAAGGCAGCCACCUGGCAUAAUACUGACGCUGAAGCGCGAAAGCGUGGGGAGCGAACAGGAUUAGAUACCCUGGUAGUCCACGCUGUAAACGAUGAGGACUAAAUGUUGGUAGGGGAACCUAUCAGUAUUGAAGCUAACGCGAUAAGUCUUCCGCCUGGGAAGUACGGCCGCAAGGUUG
rnacentral:rRNA from 1 species